rnacentral:rRNA from 1 species
GUAGGUGGCAAGCGUUGUCCGGAAUUAUUGGGCGUAAAGCGCGCGCAGGUGGUUCUUUAAGUCUGAUGUGAAAGCCCCCGGCUCAACCGGGGAGGGUCAUUGGAAACUGGGGAACUUGAGUGCAGGAGAGGAAAGUGGAAUUCCACGUGUAGCGGUGAAAUGCGUAGAUAUGUGGAGGAACACCAGUGGCGAAGGCGACUUUCUGGCCUGUAACUGACACUGAGGCGCGAAGGCGUGGGGAGCAAACAGGGAUUAGAUACCCUGGUAGUCCACGCCGUAAACGAUGAGUGCUAAGUGUUGGGGGGGUUUCCCGCCCCUCAGUGCUGCAGCUAACGCAUUAAGCACUCCGCCUGGGGAUACGGUCGCAAGUCUG